CCUACGGGUGGCAGCAGUAGGGAAUCUUUCACAAUGGGCGAAAGCCUGAUGGAGCAACGCCGCGUGCAGGAUGAAGGCCUUCGGGUUGUAAACUGCUUUUAUAAGCGAGAAAUAUGAUGGUAACUUAUGAAUAAGGAUCGGCUAACUACGUGCCAGCAGCCGCGGUCAUACGUAGGAUCCGAGCAUUAUCCGGAGUGACUGGGUGUAAAGAGUUGCGUAGGUGGCAUAAUAAGUAGCUAGUGAAAUCUGGUGGCUCAACCAUUCAGACUAUUAGCUAAACUGUUAAGAUCGAGACCGUUAGGGGUAACUGGAAUUUCUAGUGUAGGAGUGAAAUGCGUAGAUAUUAGAAGGAACACCAAUAGCGUAGGCAGGUUACUGGGACGGUUCUGACACUAAGGCACGAAAGCGUGGGGAGCAAACAGGAUUAGAUACCCGGGUAGUC
rnacentral:rRNA from 1 species